GAUUAAGUUAUUAAGGGCGCACGGUGGAUGCCUUGGCACUAGAAGCCGAUGAAGGACGUUACUAACGACGAUAUGCUUUGGGGAGCUGUAAGUAAGCUUUGAUCCAGAGAUUUCCGAAUGGGGAAACCCAGCAUGAGUUAUGUCAUGUUAUCGAUAUGUGAAUACAUAGCAUAUCAGAAGGCACACCCGGAGAACUGAAACAUCUUAGUACCCGGAGGAAGAGAAAGAAAAUUCGAUUCCCUUAGUAGCGGCGAGCGAAACGGGAAGAGCCCAAACCAACAAGCUUGCUUGUUGGGGUUGUAGGACACUCUAUACGGAGUUACAAAGGACGACAUUAGACGAAUCAUCUGGAAAGAUGAAUCAAAGAAGGUAAUAAUCCUGUAGUCGAAAAUGUUGUCUCUCUUGAGUGGAUCCUGAGUAUGACGGAGCACGUGAAAUUCCGUCGGAAUCUGGGAGGACCAUCUCCUAAGGCUAAAUACUCUCUAGUGACCGAUAGUGAACCAGUACCGUGAGGGAAAGGUGAAAAGCACCCCGGAAGGGGAGUGAAAUAGAACCUGAAACCGUGUGCUUACAAGUAGUCAGAGCCCGUUAAUGGGUGAUGGCGUGCCUUUUGUAGAAUGAACCGGCGAGUUACGAUUUGAUGCAAGGUUAAGCAGUAAAUGUGGAGCCGUAGCGAAAGCGAGUCUGAAUAGGGCGUUUAGUAUUUGGUCGUAGACCCGAAACCAGGUGAUCUACCCUUGGUCAGGUUGAAGUUCAGGUAACACUGAAUGGAGGACCGAACCGACUUACGUUGAAAAGUGAGCGGAUGAACUGAGGGUAGCGGAGAAAUUCCAAUCGAACCUGGAGAUAGCUGGUUCUCUCCGAAAUAGCUUUAGGGCUAGCCUCAAGUGAUGAUUAUUGGAGGUAGAGCACUGUUUGGACGAGGGGCCCCUCUCGGGUUACCGAAUUCAGACAAACUCCGAAUGCCAAUUAAUUUAACUUGGGAGUCAGAACAUGGGUGAUAAGGUCCAUGUUCGAAAGGGAAACAGCCCAGACCACCAGCUAAGGUCCCAAAAUAUAUGUUAAGUGGAAAAGGAUGUGGCGUUGCCCAGACAACUAGGAUGUUGGCUUAGAAGCAGCCAUCAUUUAAAGAGUGCGUAAUAGCUCACUAGUCGAGUGACACUGCGCCGAAAAUGUACCGGGGCUAAACAUAUUACCGAAGCUGUGGAUUGUCCUUUGGACAAUGGUAGGAGAGCGUUCUAAGGGCGUUGAAGCAUGAUCGUAAGGACAUGUGGAGCGCUUAGAAGUGAGAAUGCCGGUGUGAGUAGCGAAAGACGGGUGAGAAUCCCGUCCACCGAUUGACUAAGGUUUCCAGAGGAAGGCUCGUCCGCUCUGGGUUAGUCGGGUCCUAAGCUGAGGCCGACAGGCGUAGGCGAUGGAUAACAGGUUGAUAUUCCUGUACCACCUAUAAUCGUUUUAAUCGAUGGGGGGACGCAGUAGGAUAGGCGAAGCGUGCGAUUGGAUUGCACGUCUAAGCAGUAAGGCUGAGUAUUAGGCAAAUCCGGUACUCGUUAAGGCUGAGCUGUGAUGGGGAGAAGACAUUGUGUCUUCGAGUCGUUGAUUUCACACUGCCGAGAAAAGCCUCUAGAUAGAAAAUAGGUGCCCGUACCGCAAACCGACACAGGUAGUCAAGAUGAGAAUUCUAAGGUGAGCGAGCGAACUCUCGUUAAGGAACUCGGCAAAAUGACCCCGUAACUUCGGGAGAAGGGGUGCUCUUUAGGGUUAACGCCCAGAAGAGCCGCAGUGAAUAGGCCCAAGCGACUGUUUAUCAAAAACACAGGUCUCUGCUAAACCGUAAGGUGAUGUAUAGGGGCUGACGCCUGCCCGGUGCUGGAAGGUUAAGAGGAGUGGUUAGCUUCUGCGAAGCUACGAAUCGAAGCCCCAGUAAACGGCGGCCGUAACUAUAACGGUCCUAAGGUAGCGAAAUUCCUUGUCGGGUAAGUUCCGACCCGCACGAAAGGCGUAACGAUUUGGGCACUGUCUCAACGAGAGACUCGGUGAAAUCAUAGUACCUGUGAAGAUGCAGGUUACCCGCGACAGGACGGAAAGACCCCGUGGAGCUUUACUGUAGCCUGAUAUUGAAAUUCGGCACAGCUUGUACAGGAUAGGUAGGAGCCUUUGAAACGUGAGCGCUAGCUUACGUGGAGGCGCUGGUGGGAUACUACCCUAGCUGUGUUGGCUUUCUAACCCGCACCACUUAUCGUGGUGGGAGACAGUGUCAGGCGGGCAGUUUGACUGGGGCGGUCGCCUCCUAAAAGGUAACGGAGGCGCUCAAAGGUUCCCUCAGAAUGGUUGGAAAUCAUUCAUAGAGUGUAAAGGCAUAAGGGAGCUUGACUGCGAGACCUACAAGUCGAGCAGGGUCGAAAGACGGACUUAGUGAUCCGGUGGUUCCGCAUGGAAGGGCCAUCGCUCAACGGAUAAAAGCUACCCCGGGGAUAACAGGCUUAUCUCCCCCAAGAGUUCACAUCGACGGGGAGGUUUGGCACCUCGAUGUCGGCUCAUCGCAUCCUGGGGCUGUAGUCGGUCCCAAGGGUUGGGCUGUUCGCCCAUUAAAGCGGUACGCGAGCUGGGUUCAGAACGUCGUGAGACAGUUCGGUCCCUAUCCGUCGUGGGCGUAGGAAAUUUGAGAGGAGCUGUCCUUAGUACGAGAGGACCGGGAUGGACAUACCUCUGGUGUACCAGUUGUCGUGCCAACGGCAUAGCUGGGUAGCUAUGUGUGGACGGGAUAAGUGCUGAAAGCAUCUAAGCAUGAAGCCCCCCUCAAGAUGAGAUUUCCCAACUUCGGUUAUAAGAUCCCUCAAAGAUGAUGAGGUUAAUAGGUUCGAGGUGGAAGCAUGGUGACAUGUGGAGCUGACGAAUACUAAUCGAUCGAAGACUUAAUCAA
rnacentral:rRNA from 1 species